UACGGGGGGGGGCAAGCGUUUGUUCGGAAUUACUGGGCGUAAAGGGCUCGUAGGUGGCCAACUAAGUCAGACGUGAAACCCUCGGCUUAACCGGGGACUGCGUCUGAUACUGGAUGGCUUGAGUUCGGGAGAGGGAUGCGGAAUUCCAGGUGUAGCGGUGAAAUGCGUAGAUAUCUGGAGGACACCGGUGGCGAAGGCGCAG
rnacentral:rRNA from 1 species